GGCUCGGUAGCGGAUGGUUCCGUGUCUGCCUCGCAUGAAGAGGAAACCUGAAGUGCACAGAUGCCGCCUGUUCGAAUCAGGCCCGAGCCA